AGUGAACGCUGGCGGUAGGCCUAACACAUGCAAGUCGAACGGCAGCACAGUAAGAGCUUGCUCUUACGGGUGGCGAGUGGCGGACGGGUGAGGAAUACAUCGGAAUCUACUUUUUCGUGGGGGAUAACGUAGGGAAACUUACGCUAAUACCGCAUACGACCUACGGGUGAAAGCAGGGGAUCUUCGGACCUUGCGCGAUUGAAUGAGCCGAUGUCGGAUUAGCUAGUUGGCGGGGUAAAGGCCCACCAAGGCGACGAUCCGUAGCUGGUCUGAAAGGAUGACAACACACACUUGAUCUCAGUCACGGUCCGACCUCCCGCCAGAAGCCGCAGUAGGGAAUAUUUGACCAUGGGGGGAAGCCUGCUCCGGCCCAACCGGGUUGGUGAAGAAGGCCUUCGGGUUGUAAAGCCCUUUUGUUUGGAAAGAAAAACCGCCAGUUUAUCCCCCGCUUUUCUGACGGUACCCAAAGAAUAAGCACCGGCUAACUUCGUG
rnacentral:rRNA from 1 species